GGGAGAAAGUAGACACUAUGACA
rnacentral:piRNA from 1 species